rnacentral:rRNA from 1 species
CCUACGGGUGGCUGCAGUGAGGAAUAUUGGUCAAUGGGCGCAAGCCUGAACCAGCCAUCCCGCGUGAAGGAAGAAUGCGCUAUGCGUUGUAAACUUCUUUUCCAGGGGAAUAAAAUUCUGUACGCGUACGGGAUUGAAGGUACCCUGGGAAUAAGCAUCGGCUAACUCCGUGCCAGCAGCCGCGGUAAUACUGAGGAUGCGAGCGUUAACCGGAUUUAUUGGGUUUAAAGGGGGCGUAAUCGGUCUAUGGUGAAAGCCUUCAGCUUAACUGGAGACUUGCCAUUGAUACUGUAGUCUUGAGUGUGGUUAAGGUAGGCGGAAUGUGUAAUGUAGCGGUGAAAUGCUUAGAUAUUACACAGAACACCGAUUGCGAAGGCAGCUUACUGAGCCAUAACUGACGCUGAUGCACGAAAGCGUGGGGAGCGAACAGGAUUAGAUACCCCAGUAGUC